rnacentral:rRNA from 1 species
AGGAUGUUGGCUUAGAAGCAGCCAUCAUUUAAAGAAAGCGUAAUAGCUCACUGGUCGAGUCGGCCUGCGCGGAAGAUGUAACGGGGCUAAACCAUGCACCGAAGCUGCGGCAGCGAACGUAUCACCCAAGACAACUUUGCGGAGUUGACGAUUGACGGAGCGAAGCGACGUCAAAGCGUUAAUUAAAGUCGAGUUGGCUUAGGGAUACGUUCGUUGGGUAGGGGAGCGUUCUGUAAGCCGUUGAAGGUGGCCUGUGAGGGCUGCUGGAGGUAUCAGAAGUGCGAAUGCUGACAUAAGUAACGAUAAAGCGGGUGAAAAGCCCGCUCGCCGGAAGACCAAGGGUUCCUGUCCAACGUUAAUCGGGGCAGGGUAAGUCGACCCCUAAGGCGAGGCCGAAAGGCGUAGUCGAUGGGAAACAGGUUAAUAUUCCUGUACUUGGUGUUAUUGCGAAGGGGGGACGGAGAAGGCUAGACCGGCCGGGCGACGGUUGUCCCGGUUUAAGCGUGUAGGUGUGAUGACCUGGCAAAUCCGGUUAUCUUUAACACUGAGGCGUGAUGACGAGGCACUACGGUGCUGAAGUGGUUAAUGCCCUGCUUCCAGGAAAAGCCUCUAAGCUCCAGAUAACACUGAAUCGUACCCCAAACCGACACAGGUGGUCAGGUAGAGAAUACCAAGGCGCUUGAGAGAACUCGGGUGAAGGAACUAGGCAAAAUGGUGCCGUAACUUCGGGAGAAGGCACGCUGGCAUGUAGGUGAAGUCCCUCGCGGAUGGAGCCGAAGCCAGUCGAAGAUACCAGCUGGCUGCAACUGUUUAAUAAAAACACAGCACUCUGCAAACACGAAAGUGGACGUAUAGGGUGUGACGCCUGCCCGGUGCUGGAAGGUUAAUUGAUGGGGUCAGCCGCAAGGCGAAGCUCUUGAUCGAAGCCCCAGUAAACGGCGGCCGUAACUAUAACGGUCCUAAGGUAGCGAAAUUCCUUGUCGGGUAAGUUCCGACCUGCACGAAUGGCGUAAUGAUGGCCAGGCUGUCUCCACCCGAGACUCAGUGAAAUUGAACUCGCUGUGAAGAUGCAGUGUACCCGCGGCAAGACGGAAAGACCCCGUGAACCUUUACUAUAGCUUGACACUGAACAUUGAACCUUGAUGUGUAGGAUAGGUGGGAGGCUUUGAAGUGUGGACGCCAGUCUGCAUGGAGCCGACCUUGAAAUACCACCCUUUAAUGUUUGAUGUUCUAACCUGGUCCCGUGAUCCGGGAUAGGGACAGUGUCUGGUGGGUAGUUUGACUGGGGCGGUCUCCUCCCAAAGAGUAACGGAGGAGCACGAAGGUUAGCUAAUCCUGGUCGGACAUCAGGAGGUUAGUGCAAAGGCAUAAGCUAGCUUGACUGCGAGAGUGACGGCUCGAGCAGGUGCGAAAGCAGGUCUUAGUGAUCCGGUGGUUCUGAAUGGAAGGGCCAUCGCUCAACGGAUAAAAGGUACUCCGGGGAUAACAGGCUGAUACCGCCCAAGAGUUCAUAUCGACGGCGGUGUUUGGCACCUCGAUGUCGGCUCAUCACAUCCUGGGGCUGAAGUAGGUCCCAAGGGUAUGGCUGUUCGCCAUUUAAAGUGGUACGCGAGCUGGGUUUAGAACGUCGUGAGACAGUUCGGUCCCUAUCUGCCGUGGGCGUUGGAAGAUUGAGAGGGGCUGCUCCUAGUACGAGAGGACCGGAGUGGACGCACCGCUGGUGUUCGGGUUGUGAUGCCAAUUGCAUUGCCCGGUAGCUACGUGCGGAAAAGAUAAGCGCUGAAAGCAUCUAAGCGCGAAACUUGCCUCGAGAUGAGUCUUCCCUUGGACCUUGAGUCCACUGAAGGAACGUUUAAGACUAAGACGUUGAUAGGCUGGGUGUGUAAGCGUAGCGAUACGUUGAGCUAACCAGUACUAAUGAUCCGAGAGGCUUAACCUUACAACACCGAAGGUGUUUUAG